AUGAUCCCGCUUUUCGACGGCACCACCGCACACACUUCUAGACCCACAGUUGGGCUGCCACCGCCGAGACCCCGUGCUUACCAUCAACAUGCAUGCGCGUCACCGAAAGAUUUGAGUCCCUCCACCAAUCAGAUCCCUAUUUCCGCAACCUCAAUCUUUGAUGACAACCCAACCUGCUCCGCCGUACACUAUGCGUCAUCAGAGCCGGAUCUGAACAUGUGA